rnacentral:miRNA from 1 species
CAGAUAAAAUACAGGAUACCCAGUUAUAUUUGAAUUCCAGAUAUACAUUUGGGACAUACUUAUACUAAACAAUAUGAGGUCAUGAAGAUGCUGUCAUCACAAGUGUUGGU